GGGCUCGCAGGCGGUUUCUUAAGUCUGAUGUGAAAGCCCCCGGCUCAACCGGGGAGGGUCAUUGGAAACUGGGGAACUUGAGUGCAGAAGAGGAGAGUGGAAUUCCACGUGUAGCGGUGAAAUGCGUAGAGAUGUGGAGGAACACCAGUGGCGAAGGCGACUCUCUGGUCUGUAACUGACGCUGAGGAGCGAAAGCGUGGGGAGCGAACAGGAUUAGAUACCCUGGUAGUCCACGCCGUAAACGAUGAGUGCUAAGUGUUAGGGGGUUUCCGCCCCUUAGUGCUGCAGCUAACGCAUUAAGCACUCCGCCUGGGGAGUACGGUCGCAAGACUGAAACUCAAAGGAAUUGACGGGGGCCCGCACAAGCGGUGGAGCAUGUGGUUUAAUUCGAAGCAACGCGAAGAACCUUACCAGGUCUUGACAUCCUCUGACAAUCCUAGAGAUAGGACGUCCCCUUCGGGGGCAGAGUGACAGGUGGUGCAUGGUUGUC
rnacentral:rRNA from 1 species